GUACUAUAGGCUCUCCCUCUCGCCUCUCCAAAAUAUUUUAGCCUAUCGGACAAGUUCUUGAGAGAACUCAGACAAGUUCUUUCGUUUAGUACGAGUACAUCACAGAAGCAUCAAUGGAGGUCAACAUGAGCUUUUCAAAUGACAUGGAUGAUGAAUAUGAGAAACUCUUUAGGAGAUUGAAUCCACCCAGGGUUGUGAUUGAUAAUGAAGCUUGCAAGAAUGCUACUGUCAUAAGGGUAAGAGUUUUGGUGUCUUUUUUUGGUGGGUGUGUGCUCUUCAGUCUUGCCCAUCAUUCUUGUUGUUUUUUGGGUACUAAAUAUUUCAUUGUGU